CCAGCGGGUUGGAUCUGUCGGUGUGCGGCCAGCGGGUUGGAUCUGUCGGUGUGCGGCCAGCGGGUUGGAUCUGUCGGUGUGCGGCCAGCGGGUUGGAUCUGUCGGUGUGCGGCCAGUGGGUUGGAUCUGUCAGUGUGCGGCCAUUGGGUUUGGAUCUGUCAGCUAAUGUGUUCCAGCCUCCAGAGUGUUCCAGCCGCCAAAGUGUUCCAGCCGCCAAAGUGUUCCAGCCGCCAAAGUGUUCCAGCCGGAGGACAGCAUUUGGCUACAGUGCUUGUUGGGCUGAAUCCCAUCGCUUUUAAAAAAUGACAGCGGUGGCUUCAGUCAGUGGCAGCAGGUAGGCUGAUGUUCAUCAUAAUGUUGUGUACUAUACUAUACUGUACUGUAUCAGCAUGUCCCCCACGCAUGACAUGAACAUGACUUCAACAAUAAGGUGUUUUUUACACUUUGUAUUCUAAAAUCAAUCAGGAUAUUUGUUGUGGAACAUUUUCACAUUAAAAAGUAGAUAAGGUGAAAAAGAGACACACAAGGACAGAAAA